CUGAGCUGAAGGUCAAUGCUUAACCAACCGAACCACCCAGGCUCCUUGGAAAUUUCAUGGUUUUAUGGAAGUUUUGGAAAGACCCCUUUGGCUAAGAAUGGAAAUGGACUGGAGGGAGCCAUGGAAGGUGGAAGGUGGAAGACCAUUGAGGGAGUCGCUAAGGUCGUUCAUGUAAGAGAUGAGUGAUGAAGAACUUGAGAGACGUCCAGGAGAGACAGGUGCUCUGAAAUGAGUUUGGGAAAUAGUGCAAAGAUGAGAUUUUGGAAAUGUUAGUUAGGGUUUUGGCUUAGUGAAUAAGUAAAACCAUAAGUGAACAUAGGACAUUACAGAAGGAUGAAUCAAUUUGGGGAAUACUAAACAUACCAGUGACCAUUUGUUGAACACUCAGGGGGUUCCAAGUAUCAUGCCAAGCUUUUUAUACACAUUAGGUCGCUAGGACUCAGAACCAUCCUUGAGGACAGGUACUCUCAUUGCAUUUGUUGAAAUGAAGAGUGUAAACUGCCUUUCUGAGAUUAGCAGGCAGCAGGGGCAGGAUUUGAACCCACUUUUGAUUCCUAGGUCUGUGCUCUCAAGCCCCACUCCAUUCUGCCUGACUGAACUGCUAGCCCUCACUUGAGACUCAGCUCAAGGGCAAGUUCCUCUGGUGAGCCCUCCCUGAUUCUUCCUGGGUGCUUCCUCUGCGAGACCUAUGCAUGCUUCUGUGGUCACGUUUCUCACAAUCCCUUGGCAGUUUGUAGAGCCCUCUGCUUCCCCAGCAGUUGGUCCGAGAACUCCUGAAGGCAGGGGUGGUUCAUUUUUGCAUCCUCAGUGUCUAGCACGUGUCCAUUGGCUGGCUGAAUGCUAAUUGCUCUGGGCAAUUGUGUUCACUUCUCUUUUCUACACAUUCAUUUAGGGAACAAGUUCUGCUAGUAAUAGUUUCUUACAUAGUUCUCUGUGCUGUUCCUUUCUAUCUCCGCUGCCAGAGCUUAGCACUGACCUCUUUGAGAUCAUAGAAGAAGGGCAUCUAAUGUAUGAUGGAAUCUAGGAGGCUUCCUCUGGAGCUAUUUUGGUAAAGAAAGGCACUCCAGGUAGAUGAAAACGCAUAAUAAAUGAAGGCACAGAGGUGUGAAACAGUCUGUAUGGGGGACUAUGAGGGGUUUAGCCUGUGUUACUAAAGAUAAAGAAAUACGCUUGGCUGAGACUUGUGGAAUAGAGGUGAGAAGGCAGGGCUAGUGGAGGCAUUAUUUCCUCUAUACAGUUGACCCCUGAACAAUGACAGCGCUAAGGGCACCCACCACCCUAACAGUGGAAAAUCCAUGUAUAACUUUGACACCCCCCAAACUUAACUACUAAUAGCCUACUGUUGACCAGAUUCCUUCCUGAUAACAUGAAGAGUUAACAUGUAUUUUGUAUGUUAUAUGUAUCAUGUACUGUAUUCCUACAAUAUAAUAAACUGGAGAAAAGAAAAUAUUAUUAAGAAAAUCAUAACAAAGAAUGUAUUUCUAGUACUAUUCUGCAUUUAUUGGAAAAAAAAACAAACAAACUAAAAACCCACGUGUAAAUGGAUCCACACAGUUUUAAGCCCCUGUUGUUCAGAGGUCAGCUGUACCUGAUGAAAUAGAUGUCUGUACAGGGCAUAGGGAGGACACAGGAGGAGUGAGUACUUGUAUCUGAGGGCUAAGGAAAGACUUAGGUUUCACUGUAUUUCAGUUCUUUGUAUACUGACAACAGAACCAUUUUAUUUCCUGUGGCUAUGUACCUGGCGCAGCACUUAACAUGCAUUAUCUCAUCAAACCCUCACAACAUCCUGUGAAAUAGGUGUUAUUACCUUCAUGCAUAAGAGGGAAAGGAGGCUCUGGCCGAUUAAUAGUGUUCCCAAGGUCACGUGGCUAGAAAACUGGCCUACAUCGAAGAGUUCUUAGAGUCUAGACUAUAUCCUGCUAAGGAGAUCUUCUUGGAAUCCACGAACGUGUCUUUUAUUUUUGUGUGUCUAGACCUAGGACUUAGAGACGACCAAUAAACAUCAGUUUAAUAAAUGAA